rnacentral:lncRNA from 1 species
UCCAAAGGAGUAGGUCCAGUAAGAUCCCUUUUUGGCCCCAAAAUAUAGCCGUUUUACAAAGUUGUCUAAAUGUAAACUUUUAGUUAUUUAUUGGACAGUAAAAUGCUUCUGCUACAUAAAUAUGGGCUGUUUUUGACAAUACAAUGCACAUAUAUCGGGUACUAGCACCAUUAAGUCAUACUAAAUUACUGAAAACUUCACAAUUCUAGCAUUUUAAAUAAAUUUUAGACGGUUUUCGUGUAAAACGAAAGUGGCCGCAUUCGUGUUCAUCCUUAAUAUUGAAAUGUAAGUUGUAUUUUAUGAUAAUACAUAACAUAUAUAAAGGUUGAGG